AUGGCAGACCUUGAAUCGUCUGUACCUUCAAUGGUUGACGGCCUUAAACGAGGACAGAGGAAAGUUUUGUUUUGCUCAUUCAAGAGGAAUUUUGUUGAAGAAGCUUUUGUCACCGAGCUCAUUGGUUAUGCGUCAGCACACUCAGCAUAUAGUAAGCAGAGUCUAGCAAGCAUAAUUAUAGGAAUGGCUCAGGAAUUUGUUGGCAGCAAUAAUAUUAGUCUUUUGGAGCCUGGUGGCCUGUUUGGGACCAGAAAUUUGGGGGGAAAAGAUGCUGGUAGUACUAAGGACCUCUACACCAGAUUACCACCUGUCACCCGUUUAAUUUUUCCAAAGGAUGAUGAUAUUCUUCUGAACUAUUUGAAUGAAGAUGGACAGUCAAUUGAACCCAGUUGGCAUAUACCAAUCAUUCCCAUGGUUUUGGUCAAUGGAAGUGAAGAUGUUGGCACUGGUUAUGUCCCAAACUAUAAUCCAAGAGACAUCAUUGCUAAUCUGAAAAGGAUGCUAAACAAAGAGCCUAUUAUACCAAUGGACCCUUGGUACAAGGGGUUCCAGGGUUCUUUGACUAAGACAAGAUCAAAGGAAACUGGUGUGACAUAUACCAUCACUGGUGUUAUAGAGGAAGUUGAUUGCACCAUGCUUACAAUUACUGAGCUUCCCGUCCGCUGCUGGUCGGCAGAUUACGAACAUUUUCUUAAAUCCAUGUGUCCUCAUAAGGAAAAGGAAAAUGGUAAGGGCAUGGAUAAGGACAAGGAGCCACCGUUUCUAGAGGGAUAUAGGUCGCGAUGUAGUCAUGCAGAUGUGGAUUUUGAGGUUAUAUUGAGUGAGCAAAACAUGAAUAUUGCUAAGCAAGAGGGCCUUGAGAAGAAAUUCAAACUGACAACCACAAUAGGACCAACAAUGUACUUGUUUGACUCACAUGGUAAAAUCAGAAAAUAUGACAGCCCAGAAGACGUACUUGAAGAGUUCUUCACCCUAAGGCUCGAAUUCUAUGCGAGAAGAAAGGCGGUAAUGGUGGAAAAUAUUAGGAAAGAGGUGCUGUAG
rnacentral:rRNA from 1 species